rnacentral:rRNA from 1 species
AUACGUAGGUGGCAAGCGUUAUCCGGAAUUACUGGGUGUAAAGGGCGCGCAGGCGGCCUUGCAAGUCGGAUGUGAAAGAUCAAGGCUCAACCUUGACAGGUCAUCCGAAACUGUAAGACUUGAGUGUCAGAGGGGAAAGUGGAAUUCCUAGUGGAGCGGUAAAAUGCGCAGAUAUUAGGAGGAACACCGGUGGCGAAGGCGACUUUCUGGCUGACAACUGACGCUGAGGCGCGAAAGCGUGGGGAGCAAACAGGAUUAGAUACCCUGGUAGUCCACGCCGUAAACGAUGAUUACUAGGUGUAGGGGGUAUCGACUCCCUCUGUGCCACAGUUAACGCAGUAAGUAAUCCACCUGGGGAGUACGGCCGCAAGGUUAAAACUCAAAGGAAUUGACGGGG